rnacentral:rRNA from 1 species
UACGGGGGGGGCAAGCGUUGUUCGGAAUUACUGGGCGUAAAGGGCUCGUAGGCGGCCAACUAAGUCAGACGUGAAAUCCCUCGGCUUAACCGGGGAACUGCGUCUGAUACUGGAUGGCUAGAGUUUGGGAGAGGGAUGCGGAAUUCCAGGUGUAGCGGUGAAAUGCGUAGAUAUCUGGAGGAACACCGGUGGCGAAGGCGGCAUCCUGGACCGACACUGACGCUGAGGAGCGAAAGCCAGGGGAGCAAACGGG